AUGAUCUUCGGGUCGGGGCUGAAUCUCCUCAGCGCGGCGCUCGGUUUCGGCAUGACCGCCGUCUUCGUCGCGUUCGUCUGCGCGCGGUUCAUCUGCUGCCGCGCCCGGGGCGUGGACGACGGCGCCCCGACGCCGGUGGACUUUGACGUUGACUUCCCGGCAGAUCUCGAACGCCCGGUAGAGGAUGCUAAUUGUGGGUUGGAACCUUUGGUUAUUGCUGCAAUUCCUAUUAUGAAGUACUCUGAGGCUUUAUAUUCGAAGGAUGAUGCCCAGUGCUCCAUAUGUCUAGGUGAAUACACUGAGAAAGAGCUUUUAAGAAUCAUUCCGACAUGUCAACAUAACUUUCACCGUACCUGCUUAGACUUAUGGUUGCAGAAGCAGACUACUUGCCCAAUAUGCCGGGUCUCGUUGAAAGAGUUGCCUAGCGGCAAAGCUGCCAUAGCACCUUCAUGUAGCAACCCUCAAGUGCGCCCCCGCACUGAGAACUCUGUUAAUCCAGCACCUGACUGGCUCCCCCCUGUUCAUCAUUCUCACAGAGGUCAACAGAAUAGUUCAGACACACAAGGAUCAGUAGAAGUGGUUAUUGAGAUACGCCAAUAA
rnacentral:rRNA from 1 species